rnacentral:rRNA from 1 species
UACAGAGGGGGCAAGCGUUAUUCGGAAUUAUUGGGCGUAAAGGGCGCGUAGGCGGCAUGGCAAGUGGAUGGUGAAAUCCCUCGGCUUAACCGAGGAACUGCCGUCCAAACUGCUUCGCUUGAGACCGGGAGAGGUGAGUGGAAUUCCCAGUGUAGCGGUGAAAUUCGUAGAUAUUCGCAAGAACACCAGUGGCGAAGGCGGCUCACUGGCCCGGUACUGACGCUGAGGUGCGAAAGCGUGGGGAGCAAACAGG